UGGGAUUUGUCGUUGUCUGAGCGGACAAGCAACAUGCUGAAAAAUUUGGAGAGGACACAGUGGGUCACCUCUUACCAAAUGCACUACACAGGAUCGGGGCCAGUGAAUCCUCUAAAGAUAGGUGACUUCAAGGAAAGAAUUAGUGACGUCACUGGGAUGAAUUCACACACUGCACCACUGAGAGAAAAGUCCUUUCCUGUGUUUCUUCCCUCUAAACCGAGAAACGGGUGUAGAAGAAUACAGGAAAGGAGAACAUGCACUCCCACUGCUGCUGAAGCUCCAAACCAAGGCACUUCUUCAGCUACUGUAAACCAAUAUAGGCCACAAGAGAUCACAGCUAAACAUAAUGAGGCACCACAUCCAAACCAAAAGGGGCAUAGUCAAUCAACGUACAGCACUGGCUCCACAGAAGCUGA